GGGCUCCUACGGGACGCAGCAGCGGGGAAUAUUGCACAAUGGGCGCAAGCCUGAUGCAGCGACGCCGCGUGAGUGAAGAAGUAAUUCGUUAUGUAAAGCUCUAUCAGCAGGGAAGAAAAUGACGGUACCUGAGUAAGAAGCCCCGGCUAACUACGUGCCAGCAGCCGCGGUAAUACGUAGGGGGCAAGCGUUAUCCGGAUUUACUGGGUGUAAAGGGAGCGUAGACGGCAGUGCAAGUCUGGAGUGAAAGGCGGGGGCUCAACCCCCGGACUGCUCUGGAAACUGUACGGCUGGAGUGCAG
rnacentral:rRNA from 1 species